rnacentral:rRNA from 1 species
GAUGAACGCUGGCGGCGUGCCUAAUACAUGCAAGUCGAGCGAACGGACGAGAAGCUUGCUUUUCUGAUGUUAGCGGCGGACGGGUGAGUAACACGUGGAUAACCUACCUAUAAGACUGGGAUAACUUCGGGAAACCGGAGCUAAUACCGGAUAAUAUUUUGAACCGCAGGGUUCAAAAGUGAAAGACGGUCUUGCUGUCACUUAUAGAUGGAUCCGCGCUGCAUUAGCUAGUUGGUAAGGUAACGGCUUACCAAGGCAACGAUGCAUAGCCGACCUGAGAGGGUGAUCGGCCACACUGGAGCUGAGACACGGUCCAGACUCCUACGGGAGGCAGCAGUAGGGAAUGUUACGCAAUGGGCGAAAGCCUGACGGAGCAACGCCGCGUGAGUGAUGAAGGUCUUCGGAUCGUAAAACUCUGUUAUUAGGGAAGAACAGAUGUGUAAGUAACUGUGCACAUCGUGACGGUACCUAAUCAGAAAGCCACGGCUAACUACGUG